GGUAGCCUGACAUAAUUAAAUGAAAAAGAGGCCGCUGGAGAAUUCUAUUUUAUUUUAAUUCAACGCCCCGACAAAAUUGGCAGAAUAGUAAAGUGGCCUCAGCCGUUGUGAUCCCACCGCCUUUUCUUCCCCGGCGACAAGGGUCUUGUCUGAGACUUGCCAAGAGCCACUCAAAGCAAAGCAGCGGCAGCCCCAAAUUAGUUGUGGAUAUUUGCGGAACAAGGCUCGAUUGGAUCUUCAAACGGAAGUUUGGCAAGAUACCGGAACAGAGAUAUUGGAAAAGGGCUGGAUCGGUAGGGUGAAUGCAAUGGUGCAUGGAAAAGAGGAAAAAUACCUAAACCAAUUUUGGUAUGAAUUGAAUUUGCUCAAUGGGAUUUUUACUCUGUCAGUAUUUAUAUUAAAAAGUAAGAUUUUUUAAAUAAAUUUGUGAAGAUGAACAUAGGAAAAAAGACUUGUUCAUACGGGUCCUCUUUUACUUUGUAUUGACGUAACACUAAGAAUAAAUAAAUUAUAUUAUGUGUUAUAGUUAAUAAAAUAGCAAGUAAUUGUGAUAAUUUGCGGAGAGGUGAGAAGGAUUGAGGGACUUACUUGAAGAAAGGGGGAUUGGAAGGCCAUUCAGGCACAUACUUGUCGAGAGGAUAGUAAUGGAGUCUGAGAUAAUCUUUCCAAUUGUGAACCGUUUCCUUCUUCACAUUGAAGCUGGUGGAGGGCCUCAUGGUCUUGGAAGGAUCGUCAGAGUAGAGCUUCAUCUUCUCCUCCACCGACAAACUGAAGAACUCGUUCGCCACGUCUAGAAUCUGCUGCGUCGCCUCCGCCGGGAUGCCGUGAUUUAUCACCUG